rnacentral:rRNA from 1 species
GCAGCGAUGGUAGCAAUACCAGUCGGCGACCGGCGGAUGGGUGAGUAACACGUAUGCAACCUGCCUUCAACAUUGGAAUAACCCGUUGAAAGACGGACUAAUGCCUUAUAACACAGGGGCGCCGCAUGGCGAUAUUUGUUAAAGAUUUUAUCGGUUGAAGAUGGGCAUGCGCAUGAUUAGUUAGUUGGUAAGGUAACGGCUUACCAAGACAACGAUCAUUAGGGGUUCUGAGAGGAAGGUCCCCCACACUGGUACUGAGACACGGGACCAGACUCCUACG